CUAACUGGUAAACACGAACACACAUUCUGUUCUAAUCAGUGUGAAAACUGGUUUCCCUGCUUUUGGUGGGGUCUUUUUCACAUUUAUUUUUGCAAUUCCCAUAAGUACUUAGCUUGCUAAGUGUUUACGGGACGGUCUCCGGGGGCUUUCACCUAUCCCUCGUGAGGCCAACUACUA
rnacentral:snRNA from 1 species